ensembl:lncRNA novel transcript
GGCGUGGUCAGAGCGAGUCUCGGAGAAGAUGUGGUGGCUUCCGUUUGUUGGUGGAGGAGGUGGCAGGCCUCGGCGGUUCAUCUGGGUUGCUCUAAAUGACACUGUUUGAUUAUUCUGAUAGCCGAAGAAUAUUCCCCAGUGUUUCUUCAUGUGGCUGCAGAUGGCAGGAUUUCCCAAAGCUUUAUGGCUGAAACAUAUUCCGUGGUGUAUCUGUAUGGCAGUUUCUUCAUCCCUGAAGCUGUGUACGGACAGGUAGGUUGGUUUUGUACCUUGGCCACAGUUAGGGGUGCUUUAGUACCCAUGGGAAGGCAGGUAACUCUCUUCAACCUAGGGAUUUCAAGUGCUUUAAUUGUGGAACCAGUGAUGGGGCUUCUAGCUGACAUGGUAGUUGUACUGUGAAUUUUUUCAGGAACCUCUAGCUGUUUUUCAUAGUGUGUAUACUAAUUUACAUCCCCACCAAUAGCAUUUAAGAGGUUUCUCUUCUGUAAGUCUACACUGGCUGUCACCUUUAAAAAUUUGUGUUUUGUUUGUCUUUGGUAGUAUUCAUUCUGAGUGGAAUGAGAUGGACUCUUAGUGUGGUUUUUGUGGACAUUUUUGUGAGGAUUGGUGAUGUCGAGAAAGUUAUUUGAGAAAUCCCCACAUCGUUUUCCAUGGUGUCUGAACUAGUUUGCAUUUCUACCAACAGCAGACCAGCAUCCUCUCCUCCUCUGCCUCGCUGGCAUUCAUUCUUGUGGACUGUGUCAUAAUUGUCAUUCCGACCAGUGUGAAAUACUAUCUCAUGGGCCUUUUGCUUUGCAUUUCUCUGAUGAUUACUGAGGUAGAGAAAUGUCCUGUCCGUUGGUUGCUAUAAACCUUCCUUUGAGAUGUGUGUUUUCAUGCCCUUUGCCCUUUCUUCACUGAGUUUUUGUUUUGCUGAUUUAUUUGCUUAACAUUUUUGAGGUAGAUCCUGGAAAUCAGACUUCAUGAGAUGCAUAUGUGGGGACAUUUUCUCCCAUUGUGUAGGCUUUCUGUUUACUCUGUUGGUAAUUUCUUCUGCUGUUCAGCAGCUCUUUUAUAUAUUAGGUCCCACUUGUCAAUAAUUGUUUUAGUUGCACUUGCUUUUGGGGACUUAGGCAUAUCCAUGCUGUGCCAAAUCCUCUGUCAGGAAGUGUAUUUCCUAGGUUCCCUUGCAGGCUUUUAAUAGUUUGAGGUCUUGCAUUUACAGCUUUCAUUCAUCUUGCGUUAAUUUCUGUACAUGGUGAGACACAGGGGCCCACUGUUUUUCUUCUGCAACUGGCUAGCCGUUUUAUCCCAGCACCAUCUAUUGAGAGGAGGGAGUUCUUUCUCCAAAGCUUGUUUGUGUGGUUUUUGUUGAAGAUGAAGAAAUAGUGUCAACCUGGUGUUUGAUGUCCAAUGUUCACCAGGCUCCAGGUGGACACCUCUAGAAGUAGAUCUUUACAGAUGAGAACCUGGAACUGGUUUGCUGACCCGUUUUAGUCGGAAUGAAUUCCUGACCUUCUUGUCAGGAGGAGACAGAAACCUGAUCAUCUGUAGUGUACGGUGGUAUCGUGAUUACUUAAAUCAUCAAAUGUGGUUAUUGGGAAUGAUGUGUUUUUUCAAGUGGUAUAUGAGAGGUAAAAUUGCUAUUGUAGUUGACUGUUGCAGUUAUAAUUUUGUCAACAUGGUCUGUAAGAGUGCAAUGGAGUCGGCCCGGCGUGGUGGCUCACGCCUGUAAUCCCAGUACUUUGGGAGGCCAAGGCGGGCCGAUCAUGAGGUCAGGAGAUCGAGACCAUCCUGGCUAACACAGUGAGACCCCGUCUCUACUAAAAAUACAAAAAA